CGCCCCCCACUUCCAUUCUUUUCUUUAGCAAGAAGAUGAAUUUCCCCCCCUCUCUUCCAUUAUCCUCUCUAGCAAGAAAAUGAGCUUUUAAAAAAAAAAAAAAAUUGGUUCGAUUUAGAGAAGGGAAAUUGGAAAUUGAUGAAUUAAAGAAGGAAAAUUGAUUUGCAUUUUGACUGAUUUGUAGUGGGAUCAAGAAAACGGAGAGGAAGAAGAUAAGAAGACGACGAUGACUUUAUGGAGUGGAAGAAGAUAAGAAGACGAGAAUGACUUUAAGGAAUAAUCAAAGAGAACAAAAAAGAAGAAGAGGAUGAUGAUUCAUAUGCUAAUAGAAAUAGAUCAGUGAGAUCAUCAAUCAAUCCUGAUUCCGAUUCAGACUGAUGAGUUUAGAAAUGUCGAAUGAGCAUCAUGUUAGAGUUGCAUUGUAUGGGGACGACGAUGUCAUGCAGCAUGAGGGAUAAAUAUGGAAGACUACUAUUCAACACCAAGAAUGCGAAUUCAAAAUUGUUAUGCAAUGUUUGAAAGAUGUUGAGCCAGGUGCGCACAAUUUUUUAAUGAAAAUUCCAUUAGAAAAGUGGACCGUUCAUCAUGAUGGCGGUAAAAGAUGGGGCAUUUUAACAAUCAAUCUUUCUGAAUUUUUCAAUAGAUUUGUAAAGAAAUUUUGAGGCUUUCAAUUACUGUAAUGAUUAAGCUUACAUACGGUCAAAGUGUGAAAAGAUUUAUGUCCAGGAAGCAUCAUGCACAAGAGCUCAUUAAUGAAAAAGAACUAUGGCCACCUGUGGUUACAAAAUUUUUUCUGAAGUAUGAAUUGAAGUCUAAAAUUCAUCAGUGACAACUUUUAAUAGAGAAACAGGGGGUAUUCGAGGUUGAAAUAUAUCGUCAUCAAGGUCGUGGUGGCAGAAAACAUAUCAUUAAAUUUAGUAGGAAUACGUGUGAAUGUCAAAAGUGACAAGCGUAUCACGUGCCAUGUUUGCAUGUGUUGAAGGUUAUUGGGUAGAUGAAUAGGGUUGCACAUGAUUUGGUUAGUGAAUAUUAUAGCACAGUGAAGUAUUUUGAGACAUAUACAGUGUCGUUUCAACCACUUGGAGAUGAAGAAAACUGAUCGAAAGUGCCUUUUAAAAUGAUUUACAAUGAGAUAUUUAUCCAAAAGAAAGGAGCUAAAAAAACUACACGUGUUCCAAAUGAGAUGGACGUUGGACGUACAAGAUACUCAAAAGCUUGUGAAAUCUAUAGAAUAACGGAGCAUGAAAGGCGUAGUUGUCCGAACCAAGA